rnacentral:rRNA from 1 species
AUUGAACGCUGGCGGCAUGCUUUACACAUGCAAGUCGAACGGCAGCGCGGGGCAACCUGGCGGCGAGUGGCGAACGGGUGAGUAAUAUAUCGGAACGUACCCAAGAGUGGGGGAUAACGUAGCGAAAGUUACGCUAAUGCCGCAUACGAUCUAAGGAUGAAAGUGGGGGAUCGCAAGACCUCAUGCUCCUGGAGCGGCCGAUAUCUGAUUAGCUAGUUGGUGAGGUAAAGGCUCACCAAGGCGACGAUCAGUAGCUGGUCUGAGAGGACGACCAGCCACACUGGAACUGAGACACGGUCCAGACUCCUACGGGAGGCAGCAGUGGGGAAUUUUGGACAAUGGGCGCAAGCCUGAUCCAGCAAUGCCGCGUGAGUGAAGAAGGCCUUCGGGUUGUAAAGCUCUUUUGUCAGGGAAGAAACGGUAGAGGCUAAUAUCCUUUGCUAAUGACGGUACCUGAAGAAUAAGCACCGGCUAACUACGUG